UAAGCAAUCUCGAUGAUGAUGAAUUCAUCUUGUAUAAAUUGAUAAAUACUGACAGAAAUUACUUUUAUUAUUGGCAGUCGGUUGGCGAGGGAGGGUUACGGGGCACAGCCCUUCCUAGAAAAAUGAGGUACAAAUAAUAGGGAACUUGCACAUAAAAAUAUUUUUGCAUAAAAUUGUUAAUUUAUGUUUAAAAAUGUUAUAUUCAAAAUAUUACAUCUUAACAAUGAAUGGUGUACGUACAACAACUGAUCAAAGUUCCGCGCCCAAAAAUUUCUGUUUCAAACAAUUUCAAAAGCGCGAGCUGGGGUCUGACGUCACCAACCACUGUUCUCGUUCGCCCGUUCGGUGAGCCAUUGCAUGGAUGCAUUUUGCCAUUGCUAGUUGUGCGUGUCGAAUAAGUGCGUGUCGAAUAACUGUGUUGUUUGCUCGGUGUUUAUAAUAUUAUUGUAAUUAGUGUAUAAUAUACUUUAUCAAAAUUGAAAACAGAUCUGCCUAAUAUAAGUACUAUAUAGUGCUGUAAUGCCAAAGCACAACUGUCAGAAUAUCCAACAAACAUUUUUUUUACUCUAGUAGCAGAACCAAAAACGUCGAUUAAAAUGGCUAAAGGCAGGCUUGCGAGAUAAAAAGGAUAUUUCACAAAGUAGCAAAAGUCUUUAUUUCUGUGAGGAUCAUUCCGAUUUGGAACAAGAUAUGGAUAACUAUAUAUAAUUAAAGAUUAUGGGUGGUCCCAAAAUUAUAAAGUCAGGUGUUGUUUACGAGCUUUACCUUAAAAACGGUAUCUCAAUAAAGGUAUUCAGUGUUAAUUUCAAAGGAGCGUUACAGUCGAGUUGUCACCAUUGCAAAUACAUAAUAAGGAUGCAGGAACUUCACCUAUAAAAGACUUGAAACAUUAUUUGAAGAUAC
rnacentral:lncRNA from 1 species